rnacentral:lncRNA from 1 species
GACCACAUCAAAUAAUGAAACAAACACAACAAGUAGUGUAAAAUCGUCAAAUUUUGAAACAUCAUUACGUAAUGUUAAAACCAUAUAAAGAAUAGACAAAUCAAUAUUACGAAAUAACAAAACCACAUCAUGUAAUGAGAAACAACUACAGUACGUUAAGUCACAUACACAUCAAGUAAUGUUAAAACCACAUUGACUAAUGACACAACCAUAUUAAAUAAUGGUGAAACCACAUCGAGUAAUGACAAAACCAUAUUGAGUAAUGACAAAACUAUAUCAAGUCAAUACGAAACCAUAUCGUGUAAUAUCGAAAUCUCAUUAAGUAAUGACUAUUCCAUAUUGAGUUAUAUUAAAACAUCAUCACGUAAUGUCAAAACCAUAUUAAGUAAAGACAAAAUAUCAUUAAGUAAUAAUAAAACAACAUAAAGUAAUAUCAGAGUUCCACAUAAGACAGCUGUGGCGUUCCAUACA